rnacentral:rRNA from 1 species
UGGGGAAUAUUGGACAAUGGGCGAAAGCCUGAUCCAGCCAUGCCGCGUGAGUGACGAAGGCCUUAGGGUUGUAAAGCUCUUUUGGCGGGGACGAUAAUGACGGUACCCGCAGAAUAAGCCCCGGCUAACUUCGUGCCAGCAGCCGCGGUAAUACGAAGGGGGCUAGCGUUGUUCGGAAUCACUGGGCGUAAAGCGCACGUAGGCGGACUGGUCAGUUGGGGGUGAAAUCCCGGGGCUCAACCCCGGAACUGCCUUCAAUACUGCCAGUCUUGAGUCCGAGAGAGGUGAGUGGAAUUCCUAGUGUAGAGGUGAAAUUCGUAGAUAUUAGGAAGAACACCAGUGGCGAAGGCGGCUCACUGGCUCGGUACUGACGCUGAGGUGCGAAAGCGUGGGGAGCAAACAGGAUUAGAUACCCCCGUAGUCC